CCCUUUGGGGUGUGACUGCGUACCUUUUGUAUAAUGGGUCAGCGACUUAUAUUCUGUAGCAAGGUUAACCGUAUAGGGGAGCCGGAGGGAAACCGAGUCUUAAUUGGGCGUUAAGUUGCAGGGUAUAGACCCGAAACCCGGUGAUCUAGCCAUGGGCAGGUUGAAGGUUGGGUAACACUAACUGGAGGACCGAACCGACUAAUGUUGAAAAAUUAGCGGAUGACCUGUGGCUGGGGGUGAAAGGCCAAUCAAACCGGGAGAUAGCUGGUUCUCCCCGAAAGCUAUUUAGGUAGCGCCUCGUGAAUUCAUCUCCGGGGGUAGAGCACUGUUUCGGCUAGGGGGCCAUCCCGGCUUACCAACCCGAUGCAAACUGCGAAUACCGGAGAAUGUUAUCACGGGAGACACACGGCGGGUGCUAACGUCCGUCGUGAAGAGGGAAACAACCCAGACCGCCAGCUAAGGUCCCAAAGUCAUGGUUAAGUGGGAAACGAUGUGGGAAGGCCCAGACAGCCAGGAUGUUGGCUUAGAAGCAGCCAUCAUUUAAAGAAAGCGUAAUAGCUCACUGGUCGAGUCGGCCUGCGCGGAAGAUGUAACGGGGCUAAACCAUGCACCGAAGCUGCGGCAGCGACGCUUAUGCGUUGUUGGGUAGGGGAGCGUUCUGUAAGCCUGUGAAGGUGGCCUGUGAGGGUUGCUGGAGGUAUCAGAAGUGCGAAUGCUGACAUAAGUAACGAUAAAGCGGGUGAAAAGCCCGCUCGCCGGAAGACCAAGGGUUCCUGUCCAACGUUAAUCGGGGCAGGGUGAGUCGACCCCUAAGGCGAGGCCGAAAGGCGUAGUCGAUGGGAAACGGGUUAAUAUUCCCGUACUUGGUGUUACUGCGAAGGGGGGACGGAGAAGGCUAUGUUGGCCGGGCGACGGUUGUCCCGGUUUAAGCGUGUAGGUGUGUGUUCCAGGUAAAUCCGGUUCACUUUAACACUGAGGCGUGACGACGAGGCACUACGGUGCUGAAGCAACAAAUGCCCUGCUUCCAGGAAAAGCCUCUAAGCAUCAGGUAACAUCAAAUCGUACCCCAAACCGACACAGGUGGUCAGGUAGAGAAUACCAAGGCGCUUGAGAGAACUCGGGUGAAGGAACUAGGCAAAAUGGUGCCGUAACUUCGGGAGAAGGCACGCUGACACGUAGGUGAAGUGAUUUACUCAUGGAGCUGAAGUCAGUCGAAGAUACCAGCUGGCUGCAACUGUUUAUUAAAAACACAGCACUGUGCAAACACGAAAGUGGACGUAUACGGUGUGACGCCUGCCCGGUGCCGGAAGGUUAAUUGAUGGGGUCAGCGCAAGCGAAGCUCCUGAUCGAAGCCCCGGUAAACGGCGGCCGUAACUAUAACGGUCCUAAGGUAGCGAAAUUCCUUGUCGGGUAAGUUCCGACCUGCACGAAUGGCGUAAUGAUGGCCAGGCUGUCUCCACCCGAGACUCAGUGAAAUUGAACUCGCUGUGAAGAUGCAGUGUACCCGCGGCAAGACGGAAAGACCCCGUGAACCUUUACUAUAGCUUGACACUGAACAUUGAGCCUUGAUGUGUAG
rnacentral:rRNA from 1 species